rnacentral:rRNA from 1 species
UGCAUGUCUAAGUACGUGCCGCAUUAAGGCGAAACCGCGAAUGGCUCAUUAAAUCAGUUAUGGUUCCUUGGAUCGUACUUUACUACUUGGAUAACUGUGGCAAUUCUAGAGCUAAUACAUGCAGCAGAGCUCCGACCUUAGGGGACGAGCGCUUUUAUUAGACCAACCGAUCGGGCCUCGUGUCCGCGAAACGUGGUGACUCUGUAUAACUUUGGGCUGAUCGCACGGGCUUGUCCCGGCGACGUAUCUUUCAAGUGUCUGCCUUAUCAACUGUCGAUGGUAGGUUACGCGCCUACCAUGGUCGUAACGGGUAACGGGGGAUCAGGGUUCGAUUCCGGAGAGGGAGCCUGAGAAACGGCUACCACAUCCAAGGAAGGCAGCAGGCGCGCAAAUUACCCACUCCCGGAACGGGGAGGUAGUGACGAAAAAUAACAAUACGGGACUCUUUUGAGACCCCGUAAUUGGAAUGAGUACACUCUAAAUCCUUUAACGAGGAUCCAUUGGAGGGAAAGUCUGGUGCCAGCAGCUGCGGUAACUCCAGCUCCAAUAGCGUAUAUUAAAGUUGUUGCGGUUAAAAAGCUCGUAGUUGGAUCUCAGUUCGAGACGGGUAGUCCACCUACCGGUGGUCACCGCCUGUUCUCAACACCGGCCGGUUUCCCUGGAUGAUCUUCACCGGUUGUCUUGGGUGACCGGCAAGUUUACUUUGAAAAAAUUAGAGUGCUCAGAGCAGGCGCGACGCCUGGAUAAUGGUGCAUGGAAUAAUGGAAUAGGACCUCGGUUCUAUUGUGUUGGUUUUCGGAACACGAGGUAAUGAUUAAGAGGGACAGACGGGGGCAUUCGUAUUGCGACGCUAGAGGUGAAAUUCUUGGACCGCCGCACGACGAACUACUGCGAAAGCAUUUGCCAAGAAUGUUUCCAUUAAUCAAGAACGAAAGUUAGAGGUUCGAAGGCGAUCAGAUACCGCCCUAGUUCUAACCAUAAACGAUGCCAGCCAGCGAUCCGGCUGUGUUCCUCAAAUGACACGCCGGGCAGCUUCGGGGAAACCAAAGCUUUUGGGUUCCGGGGGGAGUAUGGUUGCAAAGGUUAAACUUAAAGGAAUUGACGGAAGCGCACACAAGGAAUGGGGCCUGCGGCUUAAUUUGACUCAACACGGCAAAACUCACCCGGCCCGGACACAGGAAGGAUUGACAGAUUAAGAGCUCUUUCUUGAUUCUGUGAUAGGUGGUGCAUGGCCGUUUCUAGUUGGUGGAGUGAUUUGUCUGCUUUAUUCCGAUAACGA